UCCAGGAAGGACUAUAGUUCAUUGCUAGAACAUCUGCUUUGUAUGCAGAAUGCUGUAGGUUCAAUCCCUGGCAUCUCUUGGUA